rnacentral:rRNA from 1 species
CCCCCCCCCCCCCCACAAUCAAAUCGAAAAAGAAAAAAAAAAAAGCUUGCUUUCCGGUCCGCAGUGGCGGAAGGGUGAGGUAAGUCCGGGAACUGCCCAUGGAAGGGGGAUAAACACUGGAACGGUAGUAAUACCGCAAAAUGUCGCAAGCCCAAAAGGGGGACCCUCGGGCCUCUUGCCAUCGGAUUGGGGGGAUUUGUUUUAGCCCGUAGGGGGGGUAACGGCUCACCUAGGCGACGAUCCCUAGCUGUUUGAGACGCCUCCCCCAGCCACACUGGAACUGAGACACGGUCCAGACUCCUACGGGAGGCAGCAGUGGGGAAUAUUGCACAAUGGGCGCAAGCCUGAUGCAGCCAUGCCGCGUGUAUUAAGGAAGGCUUUCGGGUUGUAAAGUACUUCAGCGAG